rnacentral:lncRNA from 1 species
UGUGCAGAAGAUCCUACAUGAAGUCCAGGGCCUCUGGAAGUUUCCAGCUUGCUGUUUGUAGCGAAACAGUCCUAGGUUAAUGGUUGCAUGAAUUUUUCAGUCACUGUUCAAAUAUCUAAGAAGCCACAUAUACAAUGAUAUAUAAUACUAUUACUUUCCAGACCGAAAAAAAAAUACAGGUUCUAUUUCUUUUAAGUAGGGGGGAUCUUUAUAAAGAGACUUUUUUUUUUCUUGAGCAGCAGAAGUCACAUGGAUGUCCCACAAUGAGACAUCUGUACAAGGUGUUCUAGGUUUGUCACUGCUCAGCACGUACAGAUGUGUCCUGUCUAUGGAGCCACAGCCGGGGUGGUGGUUGAGGAGGCCUCAUGGUGGGGCAAACCCAGGACCCAGAGUAGCCCCGGGAUGUUCACUCCUGAAAUUAUUAUUACUUCUUUAAGAAAGUCUCCACUGAUUCAACACUUUCAUGAUGGCUUUUCCUGGCUGCGUGCAUGGUGGGGACUUAAAGAUUGCUGUGUCAGGGAGCACAACCACCUUCUCUCUCUCACCAGAGCCACUCUAGCUGCUCCCAAAGAAGGCAUCUUCCACAUGGUAGAAAGUUUUGCAUAAUGCUUAGUGAAACUCCCCGAGAAAAAUGGUAUUUCCAAAUUUUUCAGAAACAAAAGUGAGAGUCCUGAAAAGGAAAUUCUUUUCUGGAUUAGGCUUGGAAACCAGAUCCAAUGCAUCCUUUAUGUACAACACAGCUUUUAUGGCCAUGAGUUCACAUGGCUUCCCAGGGGCCAAUGAAAACAAAUGGAGGCCUCCAAUAAAAGCUGUGUCGAAUGGUGUUAAUAUUAAAUACACUUAGGUGCAUACCGAUAAUGAAAUACUAAGUAAGGAAAACAGUUCUUAAGUAUAUAUCCUUUCUAUGAACAACAGCUGUGUAAUUUCUUUAAAAAAAUACUCAAUGCAACGCUUUGCUGAUUUUCCAAGGGUAGUAUAAAGUGCAAGAUCUUGCUCCCCACAAGGGGAGGUAGAAACGUCGGUGACGUGUUGGAAUUCCUAUCAUAGCUACUAGCUGGCAAAGCCUCCGAAUGCCUGCCUGGUGUGCACACGGGAGAUGUGAUCAAAAUGAGUGCUGUGUCUCGACGAAUCCAGAGAGCAGCUGAAGCAUGUUGGGCCAGCGUGGGGAAGAAGAAGAAAGCAGGUGUUGCUCUGGCUUUGCUUCUUGAGGGUCUUGACAUCUAAGUUUUAAGGCGAGUUUUGUCUUCAAUAAAAUAUAAUUAAUCAUUGUAAAGUUCAUCACAUGUAGGCAUCAGGUGAGAAGGUUUCUCCGAAGCAAGUUUCUCUUAUCAUCUGUUUCUAAUGAAAACUGUGGAACCAUCUGUGGGGGAAGGAGGAGGAGAAGCUUGAGUGAGUGCUUGGAAAAGUCUGAGAACUGAGCUCCUGGGGUAGCACUGCGGUGGUUUGUAGAAAGACCUGAAAUGUGAUGAAAAUGAGUGUGCCCAGCAAUCCUGUGAAGGGCAACAGAUGAAUGCCAUCGUCAUAUUCUACCCCAGCCUGAAAAUUUUAAAAUUGCUUUUCUGAUGAUAUCUACAUUGGUGAUGCAGACUGCAUGAGAACUUAAUCCAGCAGGGAACUUGCCAGAGUCUGGCUGUUGGUUGCGGACACCAGGAGUUCCCCAGAAGAGAUAAGGAGGUGGGCGAGUGGUCUUAGAAUUCCAUGGAAGAAACAUUUCCCGGGCUGGCAGCAGAGAUGCCCUCCCCAUAGCCCCCAUGUCGUGUCAUUAUUUCUCUGCAGUCAUUGGCCUGUGAGCAGCUGCUGGCUUCAACGCUUUUGGGGUGGGUCUCAGAGCCGCAGGGCGAGCCCUGUGUGAGUAGGGCUUGUGGGAGCACUUUGCUCCCAGGCAGUGCUAGGAGGUGACCUUGUGUCUGCUGAGUUCCUGCAAAGUAUUUCUGAGAGGCUUGAUGAUGAGCCAAACGUUGGAGCAUUCAAAUAUU